CAACCACAUGGCCAGCUUCUGGGUGUGGGCACAGUGCCACAUCUUCCAUCACUUUCUGAUGUAUCCCACCAGCACUGAAGAGACAGCCUGGAGAGAGUGCAAGAGGAAGGCUGAGAAGGAUGAGAUAGUGAGUGCCGGCUUCUUUCUGACCCUCAGUACAACCCCAGGUGGUGACCAUCAACCUUUAGGGGUGGGAGAGCAAGACUGAUGGCUUCAAAUGCUUCCCCAAGAAGAUGGACACAGGCCACUCAGCUCAACCUCACAGCCAAUGAGUUGACAAGCAAGCAGAUGACAGUGACAGGCUUUUAGAAAGAGCAUCAGAAGAUGGCCAGUUUUUCUUCAGCCUCAGCCAGGCCUUGGAACUUGACUAGGCCAUCCACUUCACCAGAGAUGCCUUCAAGAACAUCAGUAAGCUCCUUGCCAAUCAGUCCAGGAAGGACCUGGACCCAGCCAGGGACCUGUUAGUGCUGUCUCAGGGACACCAGACCAACAUCCUGGACAUCAUCCUCAUACACAAGGAAGCUCUUACCAAAGUCACGGAGAACAGGCAACAUGUGGCAGAAGGGAAGACAGAGGUGCAGAGGCUGAUGGUGUCAUUAUCACAGGAACAGGAUUUCUUUGGCCACUUUGGCUGAAAUUCACCACUUCCAUCCAAUUCACUCGAGUGAGAGACUUGAAAUCACAGAUGGAGCAUUUCUUGCAACAAGAGAUACUAUUUUUUCAAAAAGUCACC
rnacentral:lncRNA from 1 species